UUACGGCCAUAUCAUUUUGAAACACCGGUUCUCGUACGAUCACCGGUUAAGCAACGUUGAACCUGGUCAGUACCUUGGUGGGUACCACUCGGGAAUACCAGGUACUAU